GAUGAACGCUGGCGGCGUGCCUAAUACAUGCAAGUCGAGCGAACGGACGAGAAGCUUGCUUCUCUGAUGUUAGCGGCGGACGGGUGAGUAACACGUGGAUAACCUACCUAUAAGACUGGGAUAACUUCGGGAAACCGUAGCUAAUACCGGAUAAUAUUUUGAACCGCAUGGUUCAAAAGUGAAAGACGGUCUUGCUGUCACUUAUAGAUGGAUCCGCGCUGCAUUAGCUAGUUGGUAAGGUAACGGCUUACCAAGGCAACGAUGCAUAGCCGACCUGAGAGGGUGAUCGGCCACACUGGAACUGAGACACGGUCCAGACUCCUACGGAAGGCAGCAGUAGGGAAUCUUCCGCAAUGGGCGAAAGCCUGACGGAGCAACGCCGCGUGAGUGAUGAAGGUCUUCGGAUCGUAAAACUCUGUAUUAGGGAAGAACAUAUGUGUAAGUAACUGUGCACAUCUUGACGGUACCUAAUCAGAAAGCCACGGCUAACUACGUG
rnacentral:rRNA from 1 species